rnacentral:lncRNA from 1 species
AUAACAUAUCAUAGCAUCUCUCCACUGGUGUUAGUCCAACGAAUGCAGACAACUUGGAAAGCUUUCAAUCUUGUCUUUCUAUUUUACUAUAACAGUCCCCACCCUGCACGCUUUUAAUGUUUGUUGGUUUUUGUAGUGCUUUGUCUUGGACAAUUAAUUAGAAUAUCUUCUGGUCGAUGAAAACAAAAGCAUGCAUCAGCUUGGAGUCCUGUUUAUUGGAGAGUAUCUUCUGACCCAAAAAACGUUGUCCAUGAUUGACAUAUUAUACAUUUGCCAUAUGUGAUUAUCAUAUGGUCAGUUUCAGUUAACCAUUGCUCCAGUUGACACUUGUUGAAUCUGUUUUGUUUACUUUUUUUGAUAUUGAAACUUUGUUUAUUGGAGAAAAUAAGCCAUGCUUAUGCAAACUCGACAAGUGCCGAU